rnacentral:rRNA from 1 species
CCUAGUCCCCUGUCGUGCCUUGCCUCCCACGCCUAAAUUCGCGGCCGCGUCGACAUGGCUCAGAAUGAACGCUGGCGGCAUGCCUAACACAUGCAAGUCGAACGAAGCCUUCGGGUUUAGUGGCGCACGGGUGCGUAACGCGUGGGAAUCUGCCCCUUGGUUCGGAAUAACAGUGAGAAAUUACUAGCUAAUACCGGAUGAUGACGAAAGUCCAAAGAGUUUAUCGCCGAGGGAUGAGCCCGCGUAGGAUUAGGUAGUUGGUGUGGUAAAGGCGCACCAAGCCGACGAUCCUUAGCUGGUCUGAGAGGAUGAUCAGCCACACUGGGACUGAGACACGGCCCAGACUCCUACGGGAGGCAGCAGUGGGGAAUAUUGGACAAUGGGCGAAAGCCUGAUCCAGCAAUGCCGCGUGAGUGAUGAAGGCCUUAGGGUUGUAAAGCUCUUUUACCCGGG